rnacentral:lncRNA from 1 species
UUCCGACCUCGCUCUCGUGAUGUGUGGGGCCACAACCUAGUUAGUUCAUUGUUAUUGUUGAUCACCAGCAGCUUGCAGAGCUUGUUUAUGUGGGGAGCUACUGAUACUUGAUGAACGGUCCUUUUAUCCCUUUAUCUUGCAUUUCUAGUGAUACUUGCACAUCAUCAUCAUCACCAUCAUCAUCACCAUCAUCAUCAUCACCACCAUCAUCAUCAUCAUCGUCAUCGUCAUCAUCAUCACCAACAUCGCCAUCAUCAUCACCAACAUCGCCAUUAUCAUCACGCACACAUUCUGCUGCAUCAUCGGGCCCGAGUUGUCCUAUCCCUCUUGCCAGGGGACUUCCUGAUCAGCGGGGCGGUGUUAUCUUGGUCGCAUUGUUGCUCCCGUCGGUUGGGAGGAGGUUCGUUGCAGUCGCAUGUACUUAUAAUCUGUCGUAGGGCGGGUCGCACGAGGACAACAUCCGGAGUUGUGUAUCAAAUUAAUGAUGCUGCAAAUGCCUCAGUGCAUGGGGGAAAACGUGUUGCCACGGGCUUUGGCCACGCAGGCAGAGUCGUAAUAGCACAGUCAUAUGCAGGAUGGCCUCUUAAGAUAACAAUACACAUCAACAUACAUACAUACAUACAUUCAUACACACAGCAUGUACAUUAGCACAACAUGACCACAUGCAUGUAUGAAAUUCGCGGCACACUAGCUAUUUAAUAGCAAUUCGCAUGGUGCACGAGGAGAAUGAUGCCGUAUGCAUGCACGAUGGCCAGCAUGCGCCAGCCAGGAGAUGCCAAAAUGUAAGGAAUCGGCCUUGACCUGACCUGGGGCGGGGGGAGUGACAAGUCUAGCGGUGUUUGCGGAUGAGGUUUCGCCUUGAGGCGGCAGACACCCGGGGAACUACAUACAUACAUACAUGUACACACACAGUUCGGUGUGCUGCUGUGUUUUGGGGCAGUGGCACACGCGCCUUCCCGGGAGAAGUUUCUGUACUUGCCGAGAGUGUUUCUCCCUCCUGCUUCAAUUCGCUGCCCCUUGCCUAUCUAACGACCGACAUGCAUUUCCGGAAAAGGAGGGCCGGAGGACCUGAACGGACCAGUAGUUGGGCGUGAACUUGCGCCACGGAGGGCACGAUGCUGAUAAGAUUCGAGGCAAAACCCCGCGCGUACAAAGGCUGUGUUUUCAGGGCGAUAAAUAUAUGGGAACAAACAUAGAACGAAAAGGUUCCCCGGAGGUUCCAGGAUCGAGACCUGUCAGGCUCAAAAAUCCUUCCGGUAAAGUGCCCCUAGUCACCGGACGGUGGUGACCUGGGAUAUAGUUACCUUGCGAGCUGAAUAGGAAUGGAGUUGAGCUGCUGUCAGUCCGGCGGAUUCCGUUGGAUGACGGUGGUGUGUGGGGAACCUGAGCAAUCCACCGAGAAAUUGGCUAGGGUGACUUGAUGAGGGUGUCCCGAAAUACCGGGGAAGGCAGGGUCUGCCGGGUAGCGGCCGCAGUGUGAAGAUAUGACCCCCCUGUCCCACCCAUCAUGUAUGGACCCCGAGAUGCCGUAGGUUAAUGAUGAUUAUACAAUAAGAGCUCUCCUUAAAGCUCCGGCUUGACUUGGCUGGCUCACUCCAGCUUCGUUAACUUGAUUUGCGCGAUCGCAGUAGGCGAGGACGGGCUGGGAACGGAUCCCUGUCGAGCCUAGAGGUAGGAGCACUAAGGGCGGACCUUAUGGAAUGCUGUGUGUACACUCUCUGUCUAUCCUGCUCUGAUGCGCGUGUCGAGGUAGGGUAGGAUUGCAGUGUUCUUACACCAAAACAGUCCUAUCAACCCUCCUAUAAUUAUAUUAUCUUCAAUAAUAUAAUGGUCUAUACGCUCACGAAGAGUUGCUUCGAGAGCCAAACGACAAAUGUUUGGCCUCUUCGCACUCGCAUUUAUGGCGAAGUACCGACUGAUCCACGCCGGGCCUUAUCACACCCGGCCCUACCCUGGAUGCGUAACGCUCAUCCGACUAACGACAGAUGAACGACAACCUAACAUCCUCAAAUCACAACGGAAAGCGCCUUAUACGCUACCCAAAGUCUCAAAUAAAUCAACACACGGUUCGCCUUACUACCUUCGGUUGGCUUAGCCACCUGCGGAUAGCGGCUAACUCGGUCAU